GUUAUAAAGUUUGUUCCUUAUUACACGUAUUAAAUUACUUAAUAAUAAAAUGCACCCUAUUGAUAUACAUUUAGAGUGAAUUGAGUUUGCAAAAACAUGGGUGGAGUGUUUUUAGUCAUUAUGAUUCAUUUACUAUUACCUGUCUAUAUUAUAUAAUAAUAAUGUAUUAUAUACUUAAACUUGUUAGUGUAUAAAAGUAACAUACUGUAACAUUAUGUGGGUUCUGGUGGGUGGAGGAUUAGUGGUGCCACUGAAGUGUUCUGUGAUGGAGCAUCAGUGAUGAUGCAGGUCAGGAGAGCUGAGGGGACCUUUUUUUUUGAUAGCUGAAUUUUCAUUAUUUUUCUUAGUGCUGCCUUUGCAUUGCUUGAUCUUUAUUUUUUUUUCUUGUCUCUUAAAUUUUUUAAAUAGACCCAGGUAACUGGCUGAUGGUUCACAGGAAUGCUGACUGGCUGCUGAUUGACUUGCUGCUGGUUGUCUGGGCAGUGUCACCUGUCCCUGUCUCUCCUCUCUAGCCAUGUCCUUUUUCUUCACUCUCACUUUCCCUUCUCUGAGUGUCCUCGUUCUUUUUUCCUCAACCUUUGAAACUGAUAGAGGUCUAGGGGUGCAUCGUGGAGCAGGGCACUCCUCUUUUUGACCACAGGACGAUGUACAAAGAUUGUGGGAAUAGCAUCUGGUCUCAGCCUACUCUUGAAUUUUUUGGUCAUGACAAAUUGCAUUGCCGCAUAAACUGCAUACUGACUUCAGUUUAGUUUCCACACACACCUUUUUUUUUUGUCUACCCACAUACAGUACAUAUCACAUGGUGGUUAAAUGCACAGUUAUAAGUAACACUGAUGACUCCCUGCAAUGUCUCACCAUGAGUCUCAGCUCCCUGGGUUUUGCAAGGCUUUGCUUGUUCCUUAUUUCUAGUAAAACAUUGUCAAUGUAAAAAAGUGCAAAUAAAUGUAAGUAUAAUUACCUAACAA